AUUGAACGCUGGCGGCAUGCUUUACACAUGCAAGUCGAACGGUAACAGGCCGCAAGGUGCUGACGAGUGGCGAACGGGUGAGUAAUGCAUCGGAACGUGCCCAGUCGUGGGGGAUAACGCAGCGAAAGCUGCGCUAAUACCGCAUACGAUCUAUGGAUGAAAGCGGGGGACCGUAAGGCCUCGCGCGAUUGGAGCGGCCGAUGUCAGAUUAGGUAGUUGGUGGGGUAAAGGCUCACCAAGCCAACGAUCUGUAGCUGGUCUGAGAAGACGACCGGCCACACUGGGCCUGAGACACGGCCAAGACUCCUACGGGAGGCAGCAGUGGGGAAUUUUGGACAAUGGGCGCAAGCCUGAUCCAGCAAUGCCGCGUGCAGGAAGAAGGCCUUCGGGUUGUAAACUGCUUUUGUACGGAACGAAACGGCUCUGGUUAAUACCUGGGGCUAAUGACGGUACCGUAAGAAUAAGCACCGGCUAACUACGUGCCAGCCGCCGCCGUAACAC
rnacentral:rRNA from 1 species